CAAAACCCAUUGAUGCAGCGGCCACUGCGGCUGCCGAGCGGCGUCUUCCCAGAGCCCGGGGCUGUGCCCGCCCGAUGCAGGAUGCAACUGAGGAAGCCCGCUCCAAAGCAAAACAAAACAAAUUCCUCCAGCCAUGCCGUCUUUCUCCAACCCACUCAAGCGAAAGAAUGGACACCAGUUACCAGCCGCUGACUUUUGUCUCAGUGAGAAUAAUAAUAGGCAUGGUGCUACCUGGCACCAUCUGAAUAUUCUCCAAGAGUCAGUAAUGGGACUAGAAAAAAUGGGUGACCCAAAGAACCCUUUUCCCUACCUAUUCCCCCAAGCCGGCCAUUUACAUCUCUUGCGAAAGAAAAAGCCUCUGGGCAUUGGCUUCUCCGUCAGGCGGUGGCCUCAUAGCGCUCAGUGAUUCUCGCCAGGUUAUGAAAGGCCGUUUUAGAAAGCUGGCCCUCACCCACCCUGUGUUGGUGCCUCAGCAGCAGACUUUUUUCCAAGGGGUCUCAUUACAAGAUGAAGCCUGACUUACCUCUGCUAACAAUCAAGGCAUGCUCGUAAUUAAGCCACGUGGAGAAUUCCUAAAAUAUACACCUCUGAACACAAAGCUUAGCCUCCUUUUGAAAAUGGCUGAACCGUCCCCUAAACAGAGGAAAGGGUGGAAUCUCAACACAAGUGGUAGGCAACUUUGAAAACAAUAAAUAGAUGAAGAAUGGAGAGACCUCAAAAGGAGAGUCUGGGAACCCUAGCCAAAGACCCACAUAUGCUACCAUGUGGCCCUCCCUACUCAACCUCAGUAUAUCUUUACUGAAAAACACAUGCCAAAGAACAACACCCAGAGAGCUGGAAACACUGGAAAAGAUUUCGUGAUGCCCCCAACUUUACUUUAUAGGGAAGGCUAUAAUGUGGUAAAAUCGUGGGGACUUAAUUCCAUCAUAUGGAGGUUACUGAAUGUAUCAGAGACAGCCUGCAGUUCAUCACCACACAAAUUAGGAGCAACGUAAGAAGAGAAAAAGAAAAAGGAA
rnacentral:lncRNA from 1 species